rnacentral:lncRNA from 1 species
UUACUUUCUAUUUCUAACUGAAUAAUUUAUUAUCUUUUAUUAAUUAUAUUUCUCUUAAAAAAAAAAGGUGAAUUUUAUAUAUCAUUCACCUGAUUUUCGUUUUUUUUCACUUUAGUAUCAUAUGAUUUAAAAUAUAUUAAUUUAAUACUCUAUAAUUUUAUUUUUUUUUUUCGUCAGAUUUUUUUUGUUAAAUCAGUGACAAAGUUAAAAUAUAAAGAUAUUAAAGUGAAUAUUUGAUAAAUCUAGAUGGAGUAUCUCAAGUUUUUUGUAUAUAUAAUUUAAUAAAAUAUUAAAAAAAGAACUGACGAAAAGAAAAAAAUAAAACCACAUGAUACUAAAUUGAUACACCUUAAACCACAUGUUACAAAAAUGAGAAAGUACGGAACUAGAGGGGUGGCUUUUGAAGUUUAUCCAAAAAUAAAUGAUUGAGGUGAUGAGAGGGCUCACUCACCUCACUUUAUGAAUUACUAAUGAAGUUAUCCGAUCAUUGCGGUGGGUUAAUACUAUAAAAGAUAAAAGAUUGACAAAAUUAAAAUUUUAAAUUUUUUAACUUGUCAUGAAACAUCAAUAAAUACAAAUUAAAAAUAUAAAACAGGUAUAUACGAAUGUUAGCCAAACUUACAACAGCAAAUAAAUUAUACAUAAUAANAAUAAUAAAAGAAGCGCUAAUAGAGUUACUACUCCAUAUGAACCUUAAUUGUGCUGCCGCGAUCAGAGAGA